GAGGGGAGAAUAGGGACUGACUCCUAAUGAGUUCUCUUUAGGGUGACGGAAUUGUUCUGAGCUGGAUAGUUGAUAAUAGUUGAUAGUUGAUAAUCACACAACCUUGUGAAUGUACUGAAACCCACUGAAUUGUACACCAGUUAGAAAUUUUAGAAACAGUGUUAUGGCUAGCAGGGACCUCCCCACCCUCCUGGUCAGAAUAUGUGAUGGACAAACCAAUUGUCCCGUUUUGUCUGGGACUGUGGAGGUUCCUGGGAUGUGGGACUGUCACUGCUACAACUGAGAAAGCCCCAGUCAAACCGGAUGACUUGAUCAUCCUAGCGUGUGCUGAGGCAGCGCUCAGUUAUGACAGUGAAGAGAGGCCAAGUUUACAUGUAACCGAGCAGUUUCUUAUUCACAAUGUGUUUGGCCUAAACUACCACCCUGUGAAGCAGCUAGGGCAGGUUGUACUUAUCUCCUAUUUAGAGGCAAGGAACCAAGGCUCUGAUGGGCUUAGAGGUUUGCCUGAGGUUGUAUGGAAAAAUGAGUGACAGGACUGGAAGUCAAGCCUGAGCCUUAGUUUCCAAGUCCAAGCUCUUUCUUCCAGGUGGGUAACAGUUCAUACAUAUUGGUGGUACUGGUCAACAAGGGCCUCACUCACCUUAUAAAUGCUGGCCUUCUGGCUUCAGAAUCCAAGGGGGCCUCCCUCCUCUCUUGUUCUCCUCACUCCUAGAGGCUACAUCCUAUGGAAUCACUCCUAAACAGUGACGCAUUCAGCAUCCUCUCCAAGUUCAUCUUCCCGGUUCCUCUGAAAUCUCUAGAGGCAGGGACUGUGUCUUGUCACCUCUCUACUUAGCUCUUACUGCCUUGCCUGGUACCAUCUCUUUAGGCUGAGUUGUUCUCCCUUUAGGUCUUUCUUAGGCCCCGUUUUCUGAAGCGCUUGCCGGUGGAGCUGGCACGAUGUGUCUGCUGCUUUUCAGAAUGUGUUGUAAGCACCCUCCAAAGGUCAAACCGAGCCAGGAUUUCUGCGGUGAUUUUGCACGGCAUGGCCUUGUGGGCAGCAGGCCACCUGGGACAAAAUGCAGCUGCGGCCAAAACAAGCAGAGUUCCAGAUAGAGGCUGAUACAUUACCCUGGGUCCUGAAAUGAAGAGGAUGUGAAGCAGAGCCUUAGCUGAUCCAUGAUGGGCAUGAGCAUGAAUGAGAAAUAAACCUUUGUUGUUAUAAGUCA